rnacentral:rRNA from 1 species
GAUGAACGCUGGCGGCGUGCUUAACACAUGCAAGUCGAACGAAGCACUUUAUUUGAUUUCCUUCGGGACUGAUUAUUUUGUGACUGAGUGGCGGACGGGUGAGUAACGCGUGGGUAACCUGCCUUGUACAGGGGGAUAACAGUUGGAAACGGCUGCUAAUACCGCAUAAGCGCACGGCAUCGCAUGAUGCAGUGUGAAAAACUCCGGUGGUAUAAGAUGGACCCGCGUUGGAUUAGCUAGUUGGUGAGGUAACGGCCCACCAAGGCGACGAUCCAUAGCCGACAUGUGAGGGUGACCGGCCACAUUGGGACUGAGACCCGCUCCAAACUCCUACGGGACGCAGCAGUGGGGAAUAUUGCACGAUGGGCGGAAGCCUGAUGCAGCGACGCCGCGUGAGCGAAGCAGUACUUCGGUAUGUAAAGCUCUAUCAGCAGGGAAGAUAAUGCCGGUACCUGACCAAGAAGCACCGUCUAACUACGUG